rnacentral:rRNA from 1 species
UACGGGGGGAGCAAGCGUUGUUCGGAUUUACUGGGCGUAAAGGGCGCGUAGGCGGUCAGCACAAGUCAGUUGUGAAAUCUCCGGGCUUAACUCGGAAAGGUCAACUGAUACUGUGCGACUAGAGUGCGGAAGGGGCAACUGGAAUUCUCGGUGUAGCGGUGAAAUGCGUAGAUAUCGCUUGGAACGCCAACGGUGAAAACAGGUUGCUGGGGGUGUGCUGACGCUGAGACACGAAAGCCAGGGGAGCGAACGGG